UUCAUUGAACUUCAUUGAUGGUAUUCCAUCCUACUCUUUCGCAUUCGUACUGUCGCACUUGUGACGUAGAUGGCCUUAGACAAUAAAAUGAAACAAAAGAACAUGUGAUGUAGUUACCUACUUUAUUUAAUUUUCUAAAUUCUAACCUCUCCUUCAUAUUCAUCCGGGGUUAGGACCGGUAAAAUUACCUUUUUACAAUUAAUUAAAUACGUAUGUGAUUAGAAAACAAUAAACAAAUAUUACAAUAAAAUAAGGUAUUCUGUACUAAAAGAAAAGAGAAAUUUUGGCAUAUUUAUGAAGUUAGAAUCAGGUGAUAUUUACAAUAAUUAUUUACACAGGCACAGGACGGGCUGAUGUUAAACCGUCGAUCAGCGUCAUUUGUACUCCGCCGGGCAUCCUCUUCAAAAUACGCUAGUACAUCGUCGUACAGAUUUUGUGACAACGCCGGUCUUCCUUGUUCUUGACGUACGUAGGUGACCGUGCGUGGAAUGAACCGUGAUCAAGUAAACGCUGGUAAGCAUUUACCACGGUUCGCACAUUUGGCUGUCGAGCGUUUGGGUGUCUUCCCUGUACAUACGUACAGCUGCACUCGCGUUUUCUCCACUCAAAAAGUACGCACGAAGCAUAGCUACAUACUCCCGUGAUGUGAACUGAUAAGCCAUCGCGUCAGGGAAAACUUAAACAAACAACUGUUGCAACGAAAAAAAGCAUGCGCACACUUCCGAUAACAAUUUAGCACUGUUUUUUGUCGUUGUUGCGUCGGGGCGCGGCGCGGGCGCAGAGGGACAAGGGGUGGUUGGUGGGCUUCGACUUGAGUUUCCGGAAUUUAUCAAUGGAGCAGCGCCCCGUAGGUACCCAAACCCCGCCGCACGUACCUACUAUCGGGCAUUGAUUGAUUUUUUUUAAUAAUUAUUUAGCAUUUACCAGUUAUUACGUAUUUUUGUGGACAGUUUUGAGACUUCGUGUUUUUUAUUUUUUAACUACACAAAUAUGAUUAGUUAAAGAUACUUAGAGCCCAGUUAAAUUUUUUGUACUAAUUAAAAAAUAGGGGUGUAUAAGACUUCUGAGGGUGUCUAAAAGUGCAUGAAUUUGUAAUUAACUUAAUAAAUGAUCUUCUUUACAUUUAUAUUGAGGUAAAGUUUUAUUA